GACGAACGCUGGCGGCGUGCUUAACACAUGCAAGUCGAACGGAAAGGCCUUUUCGGAGGUACUCGAGUGGCGAACGGGUGAGUAACACGUGGGUGAUCUGCCCUGCACUCUGGGAUAAGCCUGGGAAACUGGGUCUAAUACCGGAUAGGACCGCACUUUAGUGUGUGUGGUGGAAAGUUUUUUUCGGUGUAGGAUGAGCCCGCGGCCUAUCAGCUUGUUGGUGGGGUAAUGGCCUACCAAGGCGGCGACGGGUAGCCGGACUGAGAGGUUGGUCGGCCACAUUGGGACUGAGAUACGGCCCAGACCCCUACGGGAGGCAGCAGUGGGGAAUAUUGCACAAUGGGCGCAAGCCUGAUGCAGCGACGCCGCGUGGGGGAUGACGGCCUUCGGGUUGUAAACUCCUUUCGCCAGGGACGAAGCGUUUUGUGACGGUACCGACAGAAGAAGCGACGGCUAAAUACGUGCCAGCAGCCGCGGUAAUACGUAUGUCGCAAGCGUUAUCCGGAUUUAUUGGGCGUAAAGCGCGUCUAGGCGGCAAGGAAAGUCUGAUGUGAAAAUGCGGAGCUCAACUCCGUAUGGCGUUGGAAACUGCCUUACUAGAGUACUGGAGAGGUAGGCGGAACUACAAGUGUAGAGGUGAAAUUCGUAGAUAUUUGUAGGAAUGCCGAUGGGGAAGCCAGCCUACUGGACAGAUACUGACGCUAAAGCGCGAAAGCGUGGGUAGCAAACAGG
rnacentral:rRNA from 1 species